rnacentral:rRNA from 1 species
UACGGAGGGGGCAAGCGUUGUUCGGAUUUACUGGGCGUAAAGGGCGCGUAGGCGGCUUUAUAAGUUACUUGUGAAAUCUCUGGGCUUAACUCAGAGCGGCCAAGUAAUACUGUAGAGCUAGAGUGCAGAAGGGGCAACUGGAAUUCUUGGUGUAGCGGUGAAAUGCGUAGAUAUCAAGAGGAACACCUGAGGCGAAGGCGGGUUGCUGGGCUGACACUGACGCUGAGGCGCGAAAGCUAGGGGAGCAAACAGG